rnacentral:rRNA from 1 species
UACGUAGGGUGCGAGCGUUUGUCCGGAAUUACUGGGCGUAAAGAGCUCGUAGGUGGUUUGUCGCGUUUGUCCGUGAAAACUCACAACUCAAUUGUGGGCGUGCGGGCGAUACGGGCAGACUGGAGUACUGCAGGGGAGACUGGAAUUCCUGGUGUAGCGGUGGAAUGCGCAGAUAUCAGGAGGAACACCGGUGGCGAAGGCGGUCUGCUGGGGGUCGAACUGACGCUGAGGCGCGACAGCGUGGGGGAGCAAACAGG